rnacentral:tRNA from 1 species
UCCCUAAUGGUCCAGUGGUUAAGACUCAGUAUUUCCACUGCAGAGGGCACAGGUUUCAUCCCUGGUUGGGGAA